CUAAGUGGGCUUGAUUGUGGGGAAAACUCCACAGUUAAGCGCACUUGAGCCAGAGGUGUCUUGGGAUGGGUGACCACCUGGGAAGUCCUGGUUACUGGGU
rnacentral:rRNA from 1 species